rnacentral:rRNA from 1 species
CACUGACAUUAGAUACCCCGGUAGUCCCAGCCCUAAACGAUGCGCGUUAGGUGUAUCGGUGACCACGAGUCACCGAGGUGCCGAAGGGAAACCGUGAAACGUGCCGCCUGGGAAGUACGGUCGCAAGGCUGAAACUUAAAGGAAUUGGCGGGGAGCACCACAACGGGUGGAGCCUGCGGUUUAAUUGAACUCAACGCCGGAAAACUCAUCGGGAGCGACAGCAGUAUGAUUGCCAGGUUGAUGACCUUGCUUGACAAGCUG